ensembl:lncRNA
ACGAGCUCCGCCGCUCAUCUCAUAAUUACAGCCUUCAACAAAUGGAGCAAAUAUCUCUCGAUGGGAUUUUCACAUACAGCCGGAUUUCAAACACGCCUGAUUGGGCGUAAAGUGGUUAUAAUGAAAGACACAAGAGAGGCUUGCUCCGGAGGGGAGAAAGUGGAUCGAUGGGGGAUCAAUUGCGCUCUUCGCUCUCAUUUAAGGACCGAUCGAUGGCUGUCCUUGUCGCUUCACCGGGACACUGGUGCUGUCAAUACCCCUUGGCUGCCCACCUCCCCCCAGUAGCCGAGCGGCGUCUUCUGAGACACAACCCGACCAAGCACGCCCGCCCUCCAAGGAGUCGGGAGCGCCGCCAGGCCCAUUGAAGCCCUGAAAUGAUAUUAGCCCAACAAUGGCGUCCCCUCGGAAAGGCCCGGGCCGCGGCGGAAAAGACAGCUCUGUCCCCAGAUAACCCCCUCUGCUGCUGGGUGUGUGCCAGGCAGGCACAGAGCUACCCCCCCAACCCGGGGCCCAAAGCCUAAAUUACACGUCUGAGCUCUGUUUUGUGAUCGAAAAGCCAGACGGCAAGAGUGAAAUGAAUUCGCCCGGCGAAGUCCAAACGUCGUAGCUUCAGCUGGUAGCGAAGAAACGUCAAUGUGUUUAUUUUUUAAACACCUGCCGGAUCAACAAUCAUUAAAGGUCAGGGGGGAUCCAUAGUCUCAGGAAGAAAUCAACACAUUUUCCCCCAGUUAACCCUGUUAACCGUUUGUCAAUCUACUUUUAAAAUAAUAAGAUGAACCAUAUAUCUAGGGACGUGUUUAGAAUGAUUUAUCAGCUUCACAAGAAGAAUAGCUAGCACAGCUCAUGAGUGUCACGUUAAAGAGGUUAAAGGUUUUGCAGUAGCGUGUGUUUGAGCCCAGAGAGGGCGUAAUGCAAAGCAUUCUACAAGUGGUGUUUGGUUUGGGUUCUCCUUUUUUAAGUGUGCCGUGUGCCAGCAUUUUCACAUAAUUUAAAUUCCCUUUUGAAAAAAAAAAGCAACACAAACUAAAUUUGGAUUGAAAUCAAUGAUAUCUCAAUUUGCUGAAGUGAACCGAUCGCUCGGGAUUCCGCACUACCUGAUCCAUCAGCAAGAGGGUGCUGUUUUGCAGGCCUUUUGAAGGACCGAAUUGUAUAAGAAUGAAAUGGAGCACACUUUUAACUUUGAACUACUUGUGUUUAUUGCAUAUGAUACACUUGCAUUCACACAAGACAACAGGAGAUUCCACAUAAAACGGUAUAGAUGAUUAAAAUGGUCUACUCCGUAAAAAGCC